rnacentral:rRNA from 1 species
UACGGGGGGGGCAAGCGUUGUUCGGAAUUACUGGGCGUAAAGAGCUCGUAGGCGGCUGUCCACGUCGGGUGUGAAAGCUCAGGGCUCAACCCUGAGAUGCCAUUCGAUACGGGACGGCUAGAGGUAGGUAGGGGAGAUUGGAAUUCCUGGUGUAGCGGUGAAAUGCGCAGAUAUCAGGAGGAACACCGGUGGCGAAGGCGGAUCUCUGGGCCUUACCUGACGCUGAGGAGCGAAAGCUGGGGGAGCAAACAGG